CGGGAUAGCUCAGCUGGUAGAGCAGAGGACUGAAAAUCCUC
rnacentral:tRNA from 1 species